rnacentral:misc_RNA from 1 species
GAUGAAGAACGCAGCGAAAUGCGAUAAGUAAUGUGAAUUGCAGAAUUCAGUGAAUCAUCGAAUCUUUGAACGCACCUUGCGCCCUUUGGACUUCUGAAGGGCAUGCCUGUUUGAGUAUCAUGAACACCUCAACUCCUUAUGGUCUUCCAUGAUGAGCUUGGACUUUGGGGGUUUUGCUGGCCUACAGUCAGCUCCUCUAAAAUAAAUCAGCUUACCGGUGUUUGGUGGGUAUCAUGGGUGUGAUAACUAUCUACGCUCGUGGUUUUCCACCAGGUAACCUUCAGCAGUGGAGGUUCACUGGAGCUCAUAGAUGUCUCUCCCCAGCGAGGACAGCCCUUUGAAUGUUUGAUCUCAAAUCAGGUAGGACUACCCGCUGAACUUAAGCAUAUCAAUAAGCGGAGGA